rnacentral:piRNA from 1 species
UUUAUGAUUGAGACAGUCGAA